GAUGAACGCUAGCGACAGGCCUAACACAUGCAAGUCGAGGGGCAGCACAUGAGUAGCAAUACGAUGGUGGCGACCGGCGCACGGGUGAGUAACACGUAUGCAACCUGCCUGUAAGCGGGGAAUAACCCGGAGAAAUUCGGAUUAAUACCGCAUAAUACUUUAGAACUGCAUGGUUUUAAAGUUAAACAUUUAUGGCUUACAGAUGGGCAUGCGUAUGAUUAGAUAGUUGGUGAGGUAACGGCUCACCAAGUCAACGAUCAUUAGGGGUUCUGAGAGGAAGGUCCCCCACACUGGUACUGAGACACGGACCAGACUCCUACGGGAGGCUG
rnacentral:rRNA from 1 species